GUCAAAAGUAAGGUCAAAAUUUUUAGUUCAUUAAAAAAAAAUGCGUGUUGUAAGGAAACGUAAGUCCCAUAAGGUUCAUAAAGUCAAAACUAUAACAAGAAAAAUAUUUAGAGCUGAAUUUACUUCCAUUAAAAGCUCCCGAGGUCGAACAGGGUUGGAGAUCUUACGUGAAGCUGAAAUGGAAGAAAAUCGCAAAAAAAGGAAAAAGAAAAAGGUUCGGCUUUGAAAAAAAUGGUAAGAACUAUAGAAAUAAGAUCCACAAGUUUUUAAGUGGUAUUUUGUGGAAGGGUGAGCUACGAACCACUUAAGCAGAACAUAACAACCAUACAAGCACAAAUAAAAGACACAUGACACAGCCUACAACCCGGUAGAGUUUCUGAGUCUGGAAGAAACUGCUACUGUGAAGCCUUAAACACUUGCUCGCCUCCAAUUGAAUCAUGUAAGAUUGCAAUAAAUGCUACACAAUUACUAAAAAGAAAGAUAAGUGCACAUUUCUACAAGCCUUCAACGUAUAAAACAGAAAUCACAGAUCAUGAAAAUCUUUUGAAAUGUAACACACACUAAUACGAUUAGCAAUAAAAAUAAUUUAGAGGUGGAUUCGGAGAAGGCUAAAAUUCUCUAUAAGCAUGGAAAAAUCCACUUAGGAAAUAUGGUAAAUACAAACCAAACACAAACAGGUAUACAGAUAUACAGCACAGUGCGAGUUUAACCUCUAGACAGCAACAUGGAGAGAAAUUCUUUAUGCUCAAUUACCAUAUCUUAUUAAAAUUAAAAUUAGAAAAGUGUUUGAAGACCCAACUAUAAAAAUUUGAUAUAUAAAUUGUUUUAAUUGAUUUGGGGACAGAAAAGAGAAAGUCGUCUCACUAUCAAAUCAGAUGCUGCAAGCAAAAUCGACCUGGAAAUGAUAUUACAAAAAGUCACGAAGUUGGAGUACAUAAUUAUAAGCAACAUACCAAUUUUUAAGACUUGCAAAAUCUUCUCGAUGAAAUGGUUCUGAUACUGACAACUCACUCAAGUAAAUAGACCAUAUAUCGAGAAGAAUCUAUAAUAAAAUCCUUUCGGAGAGCGUUCACUUACUUUUUCACACACUCUACGAAAUAUGUGUAGUCCUGAAGCAAUCUAAAAAUUAAUUAUACUCAUAAGAAAUUAAAUGUGACUUAAAAUUAAAUUAAUUUCAAAUUUUAAUUUAAAUGUAGCUCUUUCGGGAAAUGUCGACACAAUCAAGUGCAGAACUGAUGAGUUGCCCAAUGGCUGAUGGGGUAACUAUUCUGACUUAGGUUCAAUUCUAAUUAAUAAGUAAACGAUCCAUAGCCUUUGGAUAACGUAAAAUAAAACCUAACAAAUCUGAAUUUAAUGGACACCAUCGAAAAAAUAAUCAAGCAGAAGUAAAAAAAAGGAAAACAUCGGAAUUAUAAAUAGAAAUUUCCUUAUAAAAUACUUUUCGAUGAGGUUCGCAGAGUUAAUGAAUAUAUAACUGCAAUAUUGAUGACUGCUAGAGAAGCGGGAUGAGAACAUGACGACAAGUAGUGGAAGAUCCACCUGAAAAUGAAAUUAAUAACUUAUUAAAUGAAGAAUUAAAUGAAGAUAUUUAUAACAGGUUCAAUGUAUUUCUUCCAAUUCUUUGGUAUUCUUUCUGUUGCAGAAUUCAAAAAAUUGAAAUCAAUUAAUUUUUUCCAUUUCGUUUAUGGAAUGUAGUAUGCCUUUAAGUAGUGAAAGUAAUCCACCGUUUCCAACAUAAAAUGUAUCAAAUUACUUAAAUUAAAGAAUACAUAAGGUAUAUUUAAACAACCUAAUCUCCAAGAGAGAUUGUUCUGGACACUAUCAGGAAAAAGAUAAAGUUGGGAUUGCUGCUGUUCUUAGAAAUAUACUAGAAAUGUUUGACCUGCGUAUAAUGGCAAGACAAAGUUAUUAGGAAGAAGUCGAGACAUGUGUCACAAAGAAAGUUUAAAACAACAUUUUAUGAAAUUCGACGGUGCCAGUAAACAACUCAGCGUCUUAGAGUUCACAAAAUGAAUUCACCGGGUUUCCAAACACACAAAUGUACCAUAUGGUCGUACACAAUAUCAGAUUUUCUAAGUGUGGGUGGGUGUUUUCUAUUUGCUAGUGCUAUAGCCCAUUAUAGUCCAAUGCAUUGAAGAGAAACUUAUAAUAUGUAUGAAAAUUGGAAUAGUGACAAAAACCGUAAGCCCAGUAUUUUCAACAAUCUUCAUAUGUUAAAAAAUGAGAAAAAGACCUUAACAUUCAACGUCAUUAUAAUCCUUAUAACCAAUUUUAUAUUACAAUUAAAUUAGUUUUAAGCAACAAAAGAAAUAUAUUUUUUAAAUAAAAAUAUUUGGUACCGUAAUUAUUA